AGGAAUCCUAUCUGAAAAAUCCUAUAGGAAAUGUUCGAAUUCUUCAUAGGAUUUUUUUAAUACGUAAUGCAAAAAAAAGCACUAGAUUUAUGCCGAUCUAUGCGGAAAGUCUGCAUUACUAUGCCUGAUUUACGCAUAACUGUGAUAUCAUAUGCCACAAUGGACACACCCUAAGAGAGCGGUUUUGACGAUUGCGUAAAGUCCACAUAUAGUGUUUUCUGUUUGUAUGAGCUGCCGAGAACCUACAUUUGUCGUUGGAUAUCCAUUUAUAUCGACUGAAAAUUGAGACCCUUGCAUUCGUAAAAAAGAACAUCAAAAACAACUGGAACGCGAACGUAAGGAGCAGAGAAAGGCUGAAAGAGGUGAGUUACGUACGGAACAGGAGCAGCAUGAAGAGACUGAUCCAGUAGUAGAGAAAAAGGAUGUGUCGCUAGAGCCACAGCAAGCCCCUGCCGCUGCUGCGAUACAUACUGAAGGAGUCGUGAGGCCUGCUCACAGUAUGAUUCAUGACGUCUCACAUUCAGAGCCGGGUUACUCUGUAAGACGAGAGGUGUACCACAGAGAGAGUCGAUCAGUUUACUUCACAGUUGCAUUUGCAGGCAUUGCGCUAAUUGCAGUGGGUAUGGUUGGCGUAGCAGUAUUUAAAAGACGAAGUGCACGAAGCCCUCAUAGUCAGGGUUUUAUUGAAGUAGAUCAAGCGGCAACACCAGAAGAACGACACGUAGCCAAUAUGCAGAUAAAUGGCUACGAGAAUCCAACAUAUAAAUAUUUUGAAGUGAAGGAGUAACUUUAUCACCCUUAAAAUCAGAAUAAGUAUCUCCGAUUCAUUGUUUUCUCACAUCGUAGAUUGUUCGUUUUUUGUCAAAUUAAAUAAGUGAAAGAGAUCUAUAUUAUAAUUGAUGUCUAUCGUUUGUAUCACCAGGCUGUACAUGAGUAGACAAUAUUUCAGUCAGCGUAGCGAAGUAUUGAGUCAUUCGUUUUCUUAGUUGAAGAUAUUUCUGAUUGGAAUCGAAUAGCAUUAGUGAUCAAUACUCCGUAUAUUGUGCGAUGAUCGCAGCGCAGCAAUCUUGGGAAUUGUUACCAACAAUAAAUUGACCGUCCCAACAAAGAAAUCCAAAAAAUUUUGACAUCGUACUUCUAAAUCCCUAGAAUAAUCGUCUUUAAAGUUUUUUUUCUUUGGAAAUCAGUCUAUAUCGUGAGAUAUCCAAAAUCUAAUGUAAAGCAGACCGGUAAUUGCUGCGCCGCGUUCACAUGCAAUCAUACUCGUCAACUUGGCACCGAACGAUCAGCUCAUGAGGAAGAAUAAUGUUGAAUUAGCUAGUUCCACUUCCGUACAUACUCAUUUAUUUAUUUUUCUUCUUUCGUUGCUUAACUCUGAAAGAAUUGUAUUUCAAUGAUGUUUCAGAGUUCAACGCAAUAAACGGAGUGUUGAAUUAAAUGCUAUCUGCAGGACAUAAGUUCGGAGAGAUGCUAUCUGCGGUUAAAAACAGUGCCAUGAAAAUAAUAAUACAAAACUUAUGGAAAAUAAAUAUAGGAUUCCAAUCAUCGAAAGUAUUUGGAUUAGUCAAUCAUGCUCUGAUAUUUUAAGCGGUAAAAUUUAACUAGUAAUAACUUGAUAAAUUGAGCAGUUUCGCUGCUUGGAAAUAAUUGGCAGCAAUUCGAAUUGUAGAGCUAAAUAAAUAGUGUUGCUACUGAAGCAAAAAACAGUUAAUGAAAUUGAAGACUAGCUUUUUGAAUACAAACAAGCAAGCAAAAAUAUAGCAUUAAUUCCAUCACAAGAAAAAUACUCUUGGAAUAUCAGAACGUCAGUUGAAUCAAUUUGAUUAUUCAGUUUCCUUCGUACAUUCAACUUUACUGUACCUCUCUACUUUUUUCCAUUUUAAUAUAGUUUUUAGAUUAUACAUCCUUUCUUUUCCUAGUGAUUAUUGAGUACUUAAUGUCUAUUUAGUUUCAUGGAUAAUUGGAUGUUUAAAAACACUGAGAAGCACUGACAUAUUCAGUUGAAGAAAAAUGGAGUGAAAGCAAGAAAUAGAUUAAUCUAUCAUUCGAAUAAAAAAAUAGUAAUUAAGAGAGUAGUCUACUAUACUUGUUUUUAUAAUUUUAUUUUUCGAAUAUCGCGGAAAAUCACUGUUGAGAAAUAAACAAUGGAAAAUAUUCGAGAGGCUCGUUCGAUUUUACCGAACCUUCUUCUCACACAUCGAAUAUGUGUGUAUACAACGUCGUAAUAAAUCAUGUCGGGACUGUCGAAUAAAAGGAACAAGACUAUUUUUCUUCAAAAAUGGAGUUAUUUAGAUGGAGUAUAAAGUUAUACAGCGGUACAGUGGAUUCGAAAAAUAAAAUACCUUUAUGGCAAUAAAUGCCAUCAAGAACAAGACAAAGCUGUUGGAGUUUUAAUUUACAUUUUUUUCUAAUUCAAUGAAUUUUUUGAAAUUAAAGAACAAACGCGUUCAUAACAAUAAUUAUCUUAGGAUAAGAUUAAUAAUGCAUAUGCAUGUAUGAUGACGAUGGUGAUGAAUAAUAUACUACACGUUUAACGCUUAUAUAUUUGUAUAUGAUCAAGAAAAGAUAGAAGACACGCACUUUGGCUCCGUUAGCACGAAGGAGCACACACACGCAUAUGCAUACAUUAUACACUUACAACAUACCUCUAAAUAUACGAAAUGAACAUUUCAUUUAAAGUUAUUCCUGCUGAGAUGGAAUGGAAAAGCGUUGAAGUAAAUUUGAAGAGUCCGUCGGCAUUCAUUUCCUUCCAAAAAAAUGUGUAGGGGAGCUUUUAAGAGCUUGGUGCGGCAAAAUUCGCUAUAAAUCAAUACCUAACGUAUAAUAUGUGCAUCGAAAUUAACUAAAGAAUAAUUCAAGUGAAUGACAUGUGUACUGAUUGCCUACAUUCCCAAAAUGUCGCAGUGCUGUGAAAUAACUCGAAGAAAAUCAUGAGUAUAGGAAAUGAUUAAUUCGUCUUACUCAUCCUCCACGAGUUGGAAGUGAAAAAAAUAUUUGGCCCAAUUAAUUUUCGAUUGAAAACCUGCAUUAUAUAGUAUUAUUUUAGAUACUUUGAAGGGAUAUAGUAAUAUACUACCGUGAGUGUACUAUCAAGACGGUGAUAAAGUGAAUCAACAAAAAGAUACCAUCGUUACAUUAAAUUCUAAUGAUAUAUAAUUAUAUAGACAUAAACAUAUACAUAGGAUUACAGAUCUGCGUAUAUAUUUAUAUAUCAUUAUGAAGGCAGAUUUAUUAUUGUACCUAUAGCAUGUAGUGUUGUGUAAAAACACAUUGUCGCGUAUGCAACAUGGAACUGACGCCGAGUCACAGGUUCAUUUGUUUUGGUGAUUUUUUUUGCUCGUUAUGAAACUUGAUUCGUUUUCAUUGGGGAUGAAAAGCGUCAAAGCAUUCAUUGCAUAUUCAUAAAUGUUUUUUCAUCGCAAUAGUUCUUUUGUCCGGUGAUUGAUUGACGUGAAAUUCGAUUUUUCAAUGUUAUUGCUUUAAAGCAUAUCAGUUCAGAUACGAUUAAUUCCUUUGAAAACAGGCAAAAAAUAACACCAUUGGCCCUGAUCUCUCAAAUGUAUGCGUAUGUGCGUGUAUCCUGCAUCCUUAGAUGUAACGAUCCUGUGACCCGGUUCUGGGCCGCUCUAAGUAAAUUUAAAAAUUGAUUUUUGUAAAGAGGUAAUAAUUCUAUAUAUGGAAAUAAUCAACCUAGCUUAAAGUGAAGAAAAACUACAAAGCAGGUGAGGUGUGAGAAUAACAAAUUGAAAGAUUAAUAAUAAACAGAAAUAUACGUCCUUCGGUAGGAGUCCCAGUUGUGAGGGGAUUAAAAUGAAAAAAGAAAUGAUAUUAUAAUUACAUGGUUCAACAAAAUUCGUUCGGAUUUUGUGCUAAAACCAAAAGGUAAUCCUCUGGGGAGUAUAUUUUGGAGUUGGGAGAAAAGACAAAAUGGAGAAAGGACAAAAUAGCCAAAGGAAACGCAAGCCAUGGAAUUCAGCACGUGAUACAUCCAUCGACUAGGGUAAGCUGCAUCUGGAUAAUAGGGUCAUUCAUUUAUCAAUCAAUUCAUUAGAAGGCGUCCAAACGGUGCAUUGAAGUUGGUGUUCAGUGCAAAAGGAAAUUACGAGUCUGUAAGUGACAUACUUUUUCAAGUUCAUAUCCGCUCUUUCCAAUCAGUUCCAUAUCAAGUUUAUUCGGCGAACGAUCGAAGCAAUUGAGCAGGAAUCGGACAUAGGACCUUUUGCACAUAAACCGACAAUCGAUUAGUACUAACCCGACCCACCCGGUCGCUAGAAAGAUAUCAGAUACAUCAAAUUAAGUGAAUACACUGUAUUUUGAAGGAAUUUGGUAAUGAAUCUAAAAUAUACGGAUGGUUGCCACCAUUCAAAUAAACACGUUAAAAAUUAUCCGGAGGACUGGGUUACACUUUUGGGCCCAGAUGAGACGAAUUUUAUUGAACCGUGUCAUGGGUUGCACCUGUAUUUACGAAAAAACAGAACUUAUUCCUUUUUUUGUGAUCUAUCGGACAUCUACUAAAGUUCUUCCUCAAUUUAAUGUCACAACCAAAAAACGAGAACAAGGCGACUAUUUUUUCGUUGUUAUGGCAUCCUUUACCCUUGUAGUGAACAGAGUUAAUAAAGCUAACCAAUUGUGUAUUAGACGACGUUUUUCUUCGCACAUUCAUAUACUCAUAAUUUAAGUCUGUCAAAAUCGUAUUCUUUGUGACUGUACAAUAACAACAUGAAUUCGAAGAAAAUGAGAAAAAAUCGAGACAUUCAAAGAGGGAAUGAAAAUCACUAUAUCAUGCUGGCAAUUGACCAAUUUGUAAGAGAACGUGAGGAAUUAAGAAUGCGUGGAAGCUUUCACUGAAUAACAGCAGUAUAUACCGUAUAUACCGUUUUUUGUCGGUACCUGAAAAAUUAUUUCAAUAUUUCCACAUCCAUAUGAAAAUAAUUCGCUCAAUCGAUUUCUAUAGAGCAAAAGUUUGUAAAAAAAAGAUUGACAUAAGUAUCUGAUUUCGUUUCACAAUUCGAAUAGAAUCGCUAUUCUUGAAAACGUAAAUCUUUCGAUGAACAAUCCGUUUAUAAUCAUUCUGCCAAAUCGAGAAAGUGAACGUUUCUCAUAGUAACAAUUUGUGUCCGCUCUCGUUUGGUUUGUCUGGCGAUUGCUCGAUAUUAUAAGAGACUUGGAGAUAAUGUGGACGAAUUUUUCUACCAGGGCAGAAGGGGAUAGGAAGAACCGGAAUACGAACAAAUCUUUGAAUCCUCUUUACCCAAUAGAUUGAAAAAUGUAAACGUGUGGGUGAAACUGUUAUCUCCACAAGAAUGAAAUUAAACAUCGGAUGGACAAUUGAGGAAUAGUCGUGGAAAAUACAAGUUCAGAACAGGCUAAAAGCUUCAUAUGAUGUUGGUGCCCUGUCCUUUCACCUCAAAAAGACUCACUUUAUGCGUGGCCUUUAGACCUGUCAGCUAGCUCGUAUUUUUCAACAUUCUUGAAAAUUUUGUAACCAGUUUUCAAGUUAGCUUGAUCUCGGGUUGACAAAUAUUCAUUUCGAAUAUAUUUCUCAUCUUUUUAUAUAUUUGGUGAGGAGAAUUAAUGGAGCAAAGAUUUAUAUCCGUAUCGUUUUUUACCUCUCGCUGCUUACCCCUUUCCUUUCAUUCUCGAAAGAGGACGACAAAUACAAUAAUACGAAUCAUGGAUAAAAGAAUAAUUAUGUUUGUGGAUACAUGUAAUUCUACUUACCAAUAAAUAAAUGAUGGAAUACCCAUA